AUCAGCAGUGCUUUGACAAGUUGAAAUCUAUGAUUGCAUCAGAACCAGUGUUGAGAGCGCCUGAUUUUUCUCUUACAUUUAUUUUAUGUACUGAUGCUUGUAACACAGGCGUUGGAUGUGUACUUGAACAAGAGUUUAAAGAUGGCAGACAUCCGAUUCUUUAUAUGAGUAAGAAAUUUUCAGAUGCUGAGCGUAGGUAUUCGGUUAUAGAGAAGGAAUGCUAUGCUAUAGUAUGGGCUGUGAAGUCUUUAUGGGUUUAUCUAGAAGGUAAGGAAUUUGAUAUUGAAACAGAUCAUGCACCAUUACAAUGGCUUCAGAGAAUGAAGAUGAGUAAUCAGCGAUUAUUACGUUGGAGUCUGACCCUACAGGAAUUAAAAUUUAGAAUUUCGUAUGUGCCUGGUAAGUUGAACAUUGUGGCAGAUGCGUUGUCCAGGUUGGAGGAAUAGAAGUCCCCUGAAAUACUCCAGGUGGUGUGUAUAGUUGUAUAUAUGUUUAUGCAUGUUGUUCUUGGCAGUUAUAAGAUUCUGUCUAAAUGAUGUAGACAGGUAGGUUAUUUUGUAUCGGGUAUGAGAGAGUGUUUGGGUUGGACAAAAAUGUUAUUUUGUCUCCUUAGUGGGGAGGAUUGUAAAGUUUUUGAGUUAUCCUUCUUUGAGUGUUACCUGGAUUUAAAUCUUAGUGAUUUAUAAAUAGAACAAAAGUAAUCAAGUUUGACAAACAGGUAAUGUGAAGGUGAGAAACUGGUUAGGCAGGUUAAUUUAGAAACACUAGUCUUGAAAUAAGGUGUUGUCAGUAUAACACCUGGACAGUGUUGAAGUCAGAUGUUGAAAACUGACUGGAACUUGGAGUUGGAGUUUGACUAUUGUCAGGGCAGAUAUUAUAUCAGGAAUGAUCAGUUCAGGAGAAUUCAUUAAUAUUUUGUCCAUCAGGACAAUAAAGAACUCCCAGGGGACUUGUUGAGUUAUGGAAGUAUUUUAGACCAUUAAAAGAAAGGAGUGAUAAGUAAAAUGGGACAAUUUCCUAUAUAUAAAGUUGAAUCUCAGAUGAGGAUAAAUAUAUACUGUGUGUAUGGUUAACAUUUGAUAGUUUAAAUGGAACAGAUAGUUUUCAAGUAUUAAGUAUUACAACAACCUGAAUAUCUGUGUGGUUAAAUAGUCCGUCAGUGAAUUUGUUUCGGGACAAUUACAAUUUAAAACAUAGCAGAAACUUGUUUGACAGUUUGUCUCAGAUACUGAAGUAUUUAACGUUAUGUUGUCAAAGUAUUGGUUUUUCAAUAUUUGUCAAGUUGACAGACAGUAAAUUUGAACAGUAUUAUAAUUCGGAUCAAACGAGAACAACCUUUGAGAUUUCUGGAUUGAUAUAGACUUGUGAUUUAUGGACUGUGAUGGACUAAUUUAUUUAUUUACUUUUAAUUUUAACUUUUAGUUAUGUGUAUUUAGUUCCGUGUAUUUGUCAUUGUCUUUGUGAGAUAGAAGAGAGGUCGUGGAGAGGUUGUUUCAUAUGUGUAUAUUUGUGUUUUGUGUUUGUCUUGUGGUUGUGGUAUUAUUAAAUGCAAAUUUUUA